UACGAAGGGGGCUAGCGUUGCUCGGAAUUACUGGGCGUAAAGGGCGCGUAGGCGGACAUUUAAGUCAGGGGUGAAAUCCCGAGGCUCAACCUCGGAACUGCCUUUGAUACUGGGUGUCUUGAGUAUGAGAGAGGUAUGUGGAACUCCGAGUGUAGAGGUGAAAUUCGUAGAUAUUCGGAAGAACACCAGUGGCGAAGGCGACAUACUGGCUCAUUACUGACACUGAGGCGCGAAAGCGUGGGGAGCAAACAGG
rnacentral:rRNA from 1 species